GUUACCUUCUUCGUUGUUCUUCCCCCCUCCUCCGUCCCCGAUGCCUGCGUUUUGGGGACCUCCUCCGCCUCCCGCCUCCUCGUUGUUGCCUCGAUCCUGAGCGUCUCGGCCGUAUGGCGGCGAAGAAGGCGGCGGAGUCCGUCCCCAAGGCGCUGGCCGAGGAGGUGCGGCGCUGGGGAGCCAUGAAGCGCAACGGGGUGAGCCUCCGCUACAUGAUGGAGUUCGGCGCCCGCCCCACCCCGACGAACCUCCUCCUCUCCGCCCAGUUCCUCCACAAGGAGCUCUCCGCACGCAUCGCCAGGAGGGCCAUUGAGCUGGAGUCCCUGCCCCUUGGCUUGUCCGGCAAACCGGCCGUCUUGAAGGUCAGAGAUUGGUAUCUAGAUUCUUUUCGUGAUCUUCGAUCCUUUCCAAAAAUCAAAGACCCACAUGAUGAAUUAUCUUUCACUCAGUUGAUCAAGAUGAUCAAGUUGAGGCAUAACAACGUGGUACCAGCAAUGGCUUUAGGUGUACAGCAGCUAAAGAGAGACAUGAAUCGCAAGCUCGUGCCAAAAGAACUUGAAGAGAUUCAUCAAUUUCUCGACCGUUUUUACAUGUCAAGAAUUGGGAUUCGUAUGCUUAUAGGGCAGCAUGUAGCUUUGCACGAUCCUGAUCCAGAACCAGGAUGUGUUGGUCAAAUAAACACUAAACUUUCUCCAAUGCAAGUGGCCCGAACUGCUAGCGACGAUGCCCGCAGUAUAUGUUUCCGGGAGUACGGGAGUGCUCCUGAGGUUGACAUAUAUGGCGAUCCAAAUUUCACCUUUCCGUACGUUCCAUCACAUUUGCAUCUUAUGCUCUUUGAGUUGGUGAAGAACUCUCUGCGUGCAGUACAAGAGCGUUUCAUGGAUUCUGACAAGGAUGCCCCUCCUGUUAGAAUUAUUGUUGCUGACGGGAUAGAGGAUGUUACAAUAAAGAUAUCGGAUGAAGGGGGUGGUAUACCAAGAAGUGGCCUUGCAAAGAUUUUCACUUAUGUCUAUAGCACCGCAAAAAAUCCACUAGAUGAAGACUAUUGUGGAGUCUCGAAUGGAGUAACUAUGGCUGGUUACGGUUAUGGGCUUCCAAUUAGUCGUCUCUAUGCUCGAUAUUUUGGUGGUGAUUUGCAAAUAAUCUCUAUGGAAGGAUAUGGUUCAACACCUUUGGAUGUAGGAUCUGUGUUUGGCCUGGGUCAAGAGAUAAGUUGUGUUUUGAGUUACACUGAGGUACCUACACAGAAAAGAAGGCUGCUACAGAUUUUACAAAUUCCUUGUUAAUAAUCACUGAACCGAUGCUUACCUUCAUCUGUCUCGACUCGGAGACUCACAAGAACCCCUCCCCUAAGAUGAUGGGCUGGAUGGGGAAGGAAAGAGAACAGUUUGUGGAUAAAACCUCAUCCAUGCUUCAUGUAUGUUGUGAGUUCUUAGGAUUGGGUGUUUCAUGCUUUCUUCUUCUCUUUUCUUCAAGCGAGUGCCAACAUGAAAGGUCUGGACAUGAUUUCAAGAUAGACUCAAACGUGGAAAUCAGAAAAUUAUGGUCAAGUUCAUAUUGCAUGUAUCUUUCAGCUCAUUCGUGACAGCACAAAUCUUUGACAUGGAAAGAUGGAAGCAUCUUGGAUGAUGGGUAGAUCCGAGUGAGGCCUCUCAGAGACGCUUUGUAAUGUCUUGCCAUCCUCGUUAAGGAACCGUGCUUGAUGCAGCCAAAUAUGUGUUCAUCAGGGGUGUUGGGAAUCUUUUUGGAUGUGGCCGACGAUUAAAGUGAGUCCGUGUUCUCUUUUAUGCUUUUUAGCAAAGUAAGAAAAGUACGAUCCAAUGCAUCAUCAGACUUCCACCACCAACACAACUUGUUCGAUGAAUCCAUGUAUGAUAUAUUGUCUGUAGAAAAAAAUAUUACUUGUUCUUUUCUUGGACAUCAUGUAUUUUGUAUGACUUGGGUUGAUAAAUCCCAUGAAAAAUUACAAUGGA